CACGCCCUAAACGUUGAAUACUCGGUCUUGGCGAUAUACAGUCAGGGCCCAAGCGAAAGCGUUAAGUAUUCCACCUGGGAAGUACGUUCGCAAGAAUGAAACUCAAAGGAAUUGACGGGGGCCCGCACAAGCGGAGGAGCAUGUGGUUUAAUUCGAUGAUACGCGAGAAACCUUACCUGGGCUUGAAUGUGAGUGACCGGUGCCGAAAGGUAUCUUCCCCGCAAGGGGCACAAAACAAGGUGC
rnacentral:rRNA from 1 species